rnacentral:rRNA from 1 species
AGCCUGCCGCGUGUAUGAAGAAGGCCUUCGGGUUGUAAAGUACUUUCAGCGGGGAGGAAGGCGAUGUGGUUAAUAACCUUGUCGAUUGACGUUACCCGCAGAAGAAGCACCGGCUAACUCCGUGCCAGCAGCCGCGGUAAUACGGAGGGUGCAAGCGUUAAUCGGAAUUACUGGGCGUAAAGCGCACGCAGGCGGUUUGUUAAGUCGGAUGUGAAAUCCCCGGGCUCAACCUGGGAACUGCAUUUGAAACUGGCAGGCUUGAGUCUCGUAGAGGGGGGUAGAAUUCCAGGUGUAGCGGUGAAAUGCUUAUAUUUUUGGUGGAU